CUAAGCAUACAACGCACUGACAAGCGAAUAACUACAUUGCGUUUCGAUUGAAAUCAUUAAUCGAAAACAUUAUUCAUAUUAAAAAAUUCAGUCUCGUUUGCCUGCAGGGACUCUAUUGUUCUGAAGUGUUUUAUUUGGAAACUUAUUACUCCAAAUACCAAUUUUCAAAGUUGAAUGAAUUCAAUUUCAGCAAAAGCUACAAUGUUUGACGUUACGUUACCACGCUUUGUUGGAAUCGUGGUGUGUACGUUGGUAGUUUUAGCCAAUCAUCAAAUGGUAGCGCCACCAGUCAGGAUCAGCAGGGAAGUGUCGGAACAAGAAUCGAACCAGAAUGCGAACUCUAUUUCGACUUCUCAAUCAAGUAUUAGACAACUUUCAGCAGAUUGCGUGUUGGGAACGUCUAUCCGGGAUCUUUGUGAGAGAUGCGGAGUCUAUUUCAAAGAUAUCAAAGCUUUUGAUUACUGCUGCCAUGACAUUAAAAAUGUCCGUUCUUAUUGUCGAAACAUUUUAAUCAGCUACAGACUCGGAGAAAACGACUGACAUUGAACACAAGCAAAGCUAUGUAAGUUUGUCUUGUGUGUAGUAUCCCCACAGUCUGCUUGCUAACAUUAUAGAAGGAAAGGUCGAGCGUAUGAAGGAUAGACAACUGUAUUAGCUGGGCUGAAAAUUUGAUGGAACCUUUACUUGUAAUUUUAAGGUAGGGCACUAAUCUUCCGAUAGUCAGCAACUAGCCAAUGUUCGUCUGCAAACAAGUGGCUGCUUGACAAAUAUAACUUUCCAUAACGUAUUUUGAACUUCUUUUUGAAACAGCCAGAAGUAUGGAAGAGAAAAAAACGAAAAAAAUCUAUUAUAAGUUAUUUGAUGAAUAACAACCGAUUUUAUUGUCAUUCAAGAACUAUUUAUUCAAAACUUUAAAUUGAGUUUCUAUUUGAAGUCCUUAGUCAAGAAUAGAUAUCCUAACGAUAAUGUUGUAAUUGUAAUGGUUUGUUUUGACGACUAAAUAUUUUUAGAUGAAAAAUUACAUUGGGCAAAAAGAAUUAUUUUUCUAAGACUAUUAAGCUUAUUAUUAAAUAAAAGUAAUCGUUAGUUUUAUUAUAUUUUUUUCUCUAAAUCGAAUUAACUAGGACAUCGCGCUAAAAUUACAAAACAAAAGAAGCAUUAUUAUUCUUUAUUUGAUGAAAGUUUAUAAAUGACGUUAUGUAUGCUACAUAUCAAGUUGACUCGCGAGAACUAAUACUUUGUACAUCAUAAAUUAAAAUUCCUUGUUAUCGUAACAUUUUGUUUUUAAAUAUUUAUUUCAUGUUUUUACGUAUGUAGACCUUUCCGGUCCAUUUGGCAAAACAGAACUUAACCUGUUAAUCUUAGCCCUCUAUUGCACAUUGUAACGUAUAGGUAACAAGUUUAUCUUUGUUUGCUUAAUACACAUACAAAUGUUUUAAUUCUGUAAAUGAAUGCUCUUACGUCCAGGUAACAGUCUAAAUAAACCAUGAAAUUAUUUUCGUGGUUCCUCAGUUGAACAAUGUUACUUCUAGAUAACGUACCCAUUUAUAAAUUACCAAAAUAUAUUUCACAAAAGCAUUUUUUGUGCAGUAUAGACUUAUUUAAAUAUGAAAUUCAAAGGAAAGCUUUUUAACACCGUAUUUUCAUAAUGCGUGCAAUAGAGGAUUCAUUUAAAAUUUGUUUAUACCACCAAGUAAGAAACACGUGUACUUUAUGUUUCUCCUCAUAUACAUUAACAAUGAGUUUUCAAACUGGAUUGAUUUUAAAUUCUAAGCAGCACAUAUGUUUGUGUUAAAAAAUAUACAUUAAAGCCAUGUCAUCAGUCUCAAAACUGGUUGUAUAUAUAAUGGUUGUCAGUACUUAUUGGUCGCCGUUUUUAAUUUUUUUAAGCUGUGAAUAUUUCUUCAACAUAUGUUUUUGACAAUAUGCACAAAGCAUGAGUAGUGUUGCAUUUUUUUUUUCUCUUUUUGGCCAAUAUUUGACACUUGGUAUUCCAUGAUGUCAGGCAAAUAUUGGUUUAAAACUAUUAUUCAAACACCUAAUUUUAAACUCAUCGAUGCAGUGCUAAGUUCCAUAGAAACCCCCCAAGUACAUACCAUUUCCUUAGUUUGAUAUAUGACUACAUUCUUUGAGAUUCUAUACGAGGUUAUACCUCAGGAUAGUAGUGACUUCACUGUAAUAAAUGGUUGCAUUAUUAAAAUCCAAGAGUAGUUUAGUUAAGACAUGAAAUAAUUGAAAGAGCACCCUAACUAAAAAAAAAAAAAAUAAAAAAAAAAAAAACAACGACCCCCAA
rnacentral:lncRNA from 1 species